CCGCGAGAGAGGAAGUAACCAGCACGAGGAGAAACUUUACAGAUUCAAGUAUGGCAGUGCUUUAACUAUACUUACUGCAUGGAAACUCCCCGCCUUGAAUUUAGAGGUCCCCACCCUUUGCUUUCCCGGGAAAAGAAGGAAUUGUGAACCUGCUGGCUGGCUGCUGGGGAACUCGGCGUGUCUGUUUGCUCCUCGCAGCUCACGGCAAAAAGGGGGACGGAGACGUUUUGGGGAAGUUUUCAUCUUUUCCUGUCCCAGCCCACAUCCGUUUCUGGUAAUGUUGAAGAUGGUUUCUGAAUGUCCAUGAGAUGGGUAGACACAGCCUUUUUGGAGUGCCUGGAAGUUGGAGCUGCCAGGAGUAGAUACAGCCAUCAUGGUCCUUACUCCAGCUGGUGGCUGGGGAGGAACAGCAUGAACAGAGACUUCCCCAGGGAAUGAAGAUCUUGUUUUCAUGACAGCUUCUUUGAAUGUUUUUUUGAAAAAUACAUAAAAAGGAAGGGAGUAUAAUUAUCCAGAAAUCUGGCUAAGCAUAAUUGCUAUUCAGAGCAUCCCAGGAGGCCUAAAAAGGCCUUGGAGGGCAGCAUAUUUAACCCAGACCAGAAACACUGAAUAUGUGCGAAUAUUCUAUAAACCACAGGUUUCACCCAGUCAGGUGUUUCAUUCUGUGAGAUUUUUUUGGCUAAGAAUUAGGUGAGAAUCAGAUGCGAC